GACGGACGCUGGCGGCGUGCUUAACACAUGCAAGUCGAACGGAAAGGCCCUGCUUUUGUGGGGUGCUUGAGUGGCGAACGGGUGAGUAACACGUGAGUAACCUGCCCUUGACUUUGGGAUAACUUCAGGAAACUGGGGCUAAUACCGGAUAGGAGCUCCUGCUGCAUGGUGGGGGUUGGAAAGUUUCGGCGGUUGGGGAUGGACUCGCGGCUUAUCAGCUUGUUGGUGGGGUAGUGGCUUACCAAGGCUUUGACGGGUAGCCGGCCUGAGAGGGUGACCGGCCACAUUGGGACUGAGAUACGGCCCAGACUCCUACGGGAGGCAGCAGUGGGGAAUAUUGCACAAUGGGCGGAAGCCUGAUGCAGCAACGCCGCGUGCGGGAUGACGGCCUUCGGGUUGUAAACCGCUUUCGCCUGUGACGAAGCGUGAGUGACGGUAAUGGGUAAAGAAGCACCGGCUAACUACGUG
rnacentral:rRNA from 1 species